rnacentral:rRNA from 1 species
GACGAACGCUGGCGGCGCGCCUAACACAUGCAAGUCGAACGAGCGAGAGGAGGUUUACUUUCUCAAGCGAGUGGCAAACGGGUGAGUAACGCGUGAGGAACCUGCCUCAAAGAGGGGGACAACAGUUGGAAACGACUGCUAAUACCGCAUAAGCCCACGACCCGGCAUCGGGUAGAGGGAAAAGGAGCAAUCCGCUUUGAGAUGGCCUCGCGUCCGAUUAGCUAGUUGGUGAGGUAAUGGCCCACCAAGGCGACGAUCGGUAGCCGGACUGAGAGGUUGAACGGCCACAUUGGGACUGAGACACGGCCCAGACUCCUACGGGAGGCAGCAGUGGGGAAUAUUGCACAGUGGGGGAAACCCUGAUGCAGCGACGCCGCGUGGAGGAAGAAGGUCUUCGGAUUGUAAACUCCUGUUGUUGAGGAAGAUAAUGACGGUACUCAACAAGGAAGUGACGGCUAACUACGUG